rnacentral:rRNA from 1 species
GACGAACGCUGGCGGCGUGCCUAACACAUGCAAGUCGAACGAAGCUUGAUUUCUGAUUUUUUCGGAAUGACGAAUGAUAUGACUGAGUGGCGGACGGGUGAGUAACGCGUGAGCAACCUGCCCUUCGGAACGGGAUAGUGUCUGGAAACGGACAGUAAUACCGUAUAACAUAUAUUGAUCGCAUGGUCGAUAUAUCAAAACUGAGGUGCCGAAGGAUGGGCUCGCGUCUGAUUAGAUAGUUGGUGGGGUAACGGCCUACCAAGUCGACGAUCAGUAGCCGGACUGAGAGGUUGAACGGCCACAUUGGGACUGAGACACGGCCCAGACUCCUACGGGAGGCAGCAGUGGGGAAUAUUGCACAAUGGGGGAAACCCUGAUGCAGCAACGCCGCGUGAAGGAAGACGGUUUUCGGAUUGUAAACUUCUGUUCUUAGUGAAGAAUAAUGACGGUAGCUAAGGAGCAAGCCACGGCUAACUACGUGCCAGCAGCCGCGGUAAUACGUAGGUGGCAAGCGUUGUCCGGAAUUACUGGGUGUAAAGGGAGCGUAGGCGGGAUGCCAAGUCAGCUGUGAAAACUAUGGGCUUAACUUGUAGACUGCAGUUGAAACUGGUAUUCUUGAGUGAAGUAGAGGUUGGCGGAAUUCCGAGUGUAGCGGUGAAAUGCGUAGAUAUUCGGAGGAACACCGGUGGCGAAGGCGGCCAACUGGGCUUUAACUGACGCUGAGGCUCGAAAGUGUGGGGAGCAAACAGGAUUAGAUACCCUGGUAGUCCACACUGUAAACGAUGA